rnacentral:lncRNA from 1 species
GAUGGGGAAGAGGGCGGUCCCCCGCCGCUCGUCGCCGUCUUCCGCGCCACCGGCGCUCCGCAGGAGCCCCUCGAGUCGCCCGAGCUCGCGCUCCGCCGCCGCCGCCGCGGCCAUAGAUCGAGAUCGCCGAGUCGACGGAGUAGGAGAUCGGAACACGCUACUGUUACCGAAACGAUACCAAAACGAGAACAUAACGGAGUUUUGAUAUAGCAGGUGGCGGAAGUCUGUGGAAGCAUCCAGAACAUUUCCUGUAGCAGAUAAUCCAUGAUUGAGGUGGUGGCCACAUGUCUGCGUGGAGCCCACAAUUAUUUAAGCGGGGCCAGAACGGACGUCUGGCGGAUAUCGUGCCACGUGGGAUGGAGGUCCGUUCGGGAUCCCCGGGUUAUAGCGUUUGGGGUCAGCAAAGGAAACAAGACGCCAUACAUCUCCCCUCCGUUUCAACCCAAUGACAUGUUUGUCCUCUUCUCGGAGUCACUACACACAUUGGUUGCGUCCAAGAACUUACCGAGGUCAGGAAGGCAAGACUCUAAUUUUAUUUUAAUUGGAUGUGGAUUUAAUUUCAAAACCAUAAAUGAAAUGAUAUGUAAUUGGAUGAUCUUUGCAUUUCUUAGGAUUCCAAGAACACAGCAGAUGCUUGUCGAGCUGAAGCAAGAAGCAAGAGGAAUGAAUCUCAAACGAAGAACAGCAAAGUUUCUUGGAAUUCUGUCAUGAUGAACAAGAAAAUCAAUCAUCUCGACGAACAAAAAAUUUCGAUUAUUAU